rnacentral:rRNA from 1 species
CCUACGGGGGGCUGCAGUGGGGAAUAUUGGGCAAUGGGCGCAAGCCUGACCCAGCAACGCCGCGUGAAGGAAGAAGGCUUUCGGGUUGUAAACUUCUUUUAAGGGGGAAGAGCAGAAGACGGUACCCCUUGAAUAAGCCACGGCUAACUACGUGCCAGCAGCCGCGGUAAUACGUAGGUGGCAAGCGUUGUCCGGAUUUACUGGGUGUAAAGGGCGUGCAGCCGGAGAUACAAGUCAGAUGUGAAAUCCACGGGCUCAAACCGUGAACUGCAUUUGAAACUGUUUCCCUUGAGUGUCGGAGAGGUAAUCGGAAUUCCUUGUGUAGCGGUGAAAUGCGUAGAUAUAAGGAAGAACACCAGAGGCGAAGGCGGAUUACUGGACGAUAACUGACGGUGAGGCGCGAAAGCGUGGGGAGCAAACAGGAUUAGAUACCCUUGUAGUC